rnacentral:rRNA from 1 species
CGGGACACGUGGUAUCCUGUCUGAAUAUGGGGGGACCAUCCUCCAAGGCUAAAUACUCCUGACUGACCGAUAGUGAACCAGUACCGUGAGGGAAAGGCGAAAAGAACCCCGGCGAGGGGAGUGAAAAAGAACCUGAAACCGUGUACGUACAAGCAGUGGGAGCACGCUUAGGCGUGUGACUGCGUACCUUUUGUAUAAUGGGUCAGCGACUUAUAUUCUGUAGCAAGGUUAACCGAAUAGGGGAGCCGAAGGGAAACCGAGUCUUAACUGGGCGUUAAGUUGCAGGGUAUAGACCCGAAACCCGGUGAUCUAGCCAUGGGCAGGUUGAAGGUUGGGUAACACUAACUGGAGGACCGAACCGACUAAUGUUGAAAAAUUAGCGGAUGACUUGUGGCUGGGGGUGAAAGGCCAAUCAAACCGGGAGAUAGCUGGUUCUCCCCGAAAGCUAUUUAGGUAGCGCCUCGUGAAUUCAUCUCCGGGGGUAGAGCACUGUUUCGGCAAGGGGGUCAUCCCGACUUACCAACCCGAUGCAAACUACGAAUACCGGAGAAUGUUAUCACGGGAGACACACGGCGGGUGCUAACGUCCGUCGUGAAGAGGGAAACAACCCAGACCGCCAGCUAAGGUCCCAAAGUCAUGGUUAAGUGGGAAACGAUGUGGGAAGGCCCAGACAGCCAGGAUGUUGGCUUAGAAGCAGCCAUCAUUUAAAGAAAGCGUAAUAGCUCACUGGUCGAGUCGGCCUGCGCGGAAGAUGUAACGGGGCUAAACCAUGCACCGAAGCUGCGGCAGCGACGCUGAUGCGUUGUUGGGUAGGGGAGCGUUCUGUAAGCCUGCGAAGGUGUGC